UACGGGGGGGGCAAGCGUUGUUCGGAAUUACUGGGCGUAAAGGGUUUGUAGGUGGCUCGCUAAGUCAGACGUGAAAUCCCUCAGCUUAACUGGGGAACUGCGUCUGAGACUGAUGAGCUUGAGUGCAGGAGAGGAACGCGGAAUUCCAGGUGUAGCGGUGAAAUGCGUAGAUAUCUGGAGGAACACCGGUGGCGAAGGCGGCGUUCUGGACUGCAACUGACACUGUAAAACGAAAGCCAGGGGAGCAAACGGG
rnacentral:rRNA from 1 species